AACAGGCCGACAGGGUUUACAACUGCAAAAACUCUUGCAGAACGAUGAAUAUUUUAAGAAAUUUGUUAUAUCGAAACUGCUUGAAAAUGCAUCACAUCGAAAACAACUUCAAUAUUCUUCAAUGAAAAAGCAUGAUCAAUUAUAUUUUGACAAUCUUCCAUAUAUUGAUAAUGUGGAAUCUUUAAUGCAAUUUAAAUAAUAAGUUGAAAACUGACGAAGUUUACAGGAGUAAAGUGAUCUUGAUGAUGGCCAAAGUAGGAGGAAAACAUUAUAAAAAAAUUUCAAUGGCAAUUUUGAAAAGAAUUAUCCAUUGCACUCUUGCAAAAGAAUAUAGUUGGAAUGGAGGAAAAGGCAAAAUGCAAUUCUGUGUUCUUAAAGGAUUAGUGAAUGCUGUAAUUUGUGCAACUAGGCAUACUAAACAUAAGGUAUAGCAUUGGCAGCUGAUGCAACUGAGAAAGAUAUUAUUGGAAGCAUCAAGGAAUUUCUUCGUCAAUCAAUUGGUCGAGCUAAAACAUGGAAAUCAAAGCAUAAAAAUGAAAGAGAUGAAAAUCUUCACAGCCAUAUAUCUGAAACCGAAGAAGCUUUCUCUGCCAUAAGUAAAAGUGAAGAAGAUGAACAAAAUGAAACUAAUACUUCCAUUGAUUCUGAAAAUAAUAAUGACGUUUAUGAUGAAAGCAAUAAAAUUUCUUAUCUUGAAAACUCGGAUGAUAAAUCUUCUAACUUUUCAACAUUAGAAGUUAACAAUAACUUUUAAAAAACUAUAUAAGUAUAUAUUGCUCUAUAUUUUAUAAAUAAUUUCUUUUCUACACAA